rnacentral:rRNA from 1 species
AAAUUGAAGAGUUUGAUCAUGGCUCAGAUUGAACGCUGGCGGCAGGCCUAACACAUGCAAGUCGAACGGUAACAGGAAGCAGCUUGCUGUUUUGCUGACGAGUGGCGGACGGGUGAGUAAUGUCUGGGAAACUGCCUGAUGGAGGGGGAUAACUACUGGAAACGGUGGCUAAUACCGCAUAACGUCGCAAGACCAAAGAGGGGGACCUUCGGGCCUCUUGCCAUCAGAUGUGCCCAGAUGGGAUUAGCUUGUUGGUGAGGUAACGGCUCACCAAGGCGACGAUCCCUAGCUGGUCUGAGAGGAUGA